GGAUGCGAGGGUGGUACGGCUGCCACGUGUCACUCCAUUGAUUGCAGGGUUGAUUUGGCUGAUCUGGCUGGCAAGGCAAGUGUCCCUUCCACCAUGAUUGCUCCAUGUGCUGUGCACUCGGUUGACGAGAAGGCCAGCCUGCUAGAGAAGGACCAUUUUCUUGGUCCAGUGUAUCAGAGGAGCUGUGCUCCCAUCAGAAUCUCCAAACAAGUGCUCAAAGAAACACGUGUACAGGGCCUGGCUCAUGUUUUACAGCACUGGACAAAAGGAAAUCUGAGUCAUCAUCAGUGAGAUGAGAUGAGGAGAUAGGAGUCAGUACUU
rnacentral:snRNA from 1 species